GACGAACGCUGGCGGCGUGCCUAAUACAUGCAAGUUGAGCGAUGAAGAUUGGUGCUUGCACCAAUUUGCAGAGCAGCGAACGGGUGAGUAACGCGUGGGGAAUCUGCCUUUGAGCGGGGGACAACAUUUGGAAACGAAUGCUAAUACCGCAUAAUAACUUUAAACAUAAGUUUUAAGUUUGAAAGAUGCAAUUGCAUCACUCAAAGAUGAUCCCGCGUUGUAUUAGCUAGUUGGUGAGGUAAAGGCUCACCAAGGCGAUGAUACAUAGCCGACCUGAGAGGGUGAUCGGCCACAUUGGGACUGAGACACGGCCCAAACUCCUACGGGAGGCAGCAGUAGGGAAUCUUCGGCAAUAGACGAAAGUCUGACCGAGCAACGCCGCGUGAGUGAAGAAGGUUUUCGGAUCGUAAAAAUCUGUUGGUAGAGAAGAACGUUGGUGAGAGUGGAAAGCUCAUCAAGUGACGGUAACUACCCAGAAAGGGACGGCUAACUACGUG
rnacentral:rRNA from 1 species